CGGUUGAUCCUGCCGGACCCUACCGCUAUCGGGGUAGGACUUAAGCAUGUUAGUCGUACGCCUCCCCGCCGUCGGAGGAGGCGUGGCGUACGGCUCAGUAACACGUAGUUAAUCUGCCCUCAGGACAGACAUAACCCCGGGAAACUGGGGUCAAUGUCUGAUAGAUGGGGAAGCCUGGAAUGGUUCCCCUUCGAAAAGACGUUGGAACCGUGCUUUCAACGUCGCCUGAGGAUGAGACUGCGUCCGAUCAGGUUGUUGGUGAGGUAACGGCUCACCAAGCCUAUAACCGGUACGGGCCGUGAGAGCGGGAGCCCGGAGAUGGGAACUGAGACAAGGUCCCAGGCCCUACGGGGCGCAGCAGUUGCGAAAACUCGCCAAUGCACGAAAGUGUGAGCGGGCUACCCCGAGUGCCGUCCGCUGAGGAUGGCUUUUCAACACUGUAAGGAAGUGUGGGAAUAAGGAGAGGGCAAGUCUGGUGUCAGCCGCCGCGGUAAAACCAGCUCUCCGAGUGGUAGGGAUGAUUAUUGGGCUUAAAGCGUCCGUAGCCGGCCUGACAAGUCUCUCGUUAAAUCCAACGAUUCAAUCGUUGGACUGCGGGAGAUACUGUCAGGCUAGGAGGCGGGAGAGGCCGACGGUAUUCUUGGGGUAGGGGUGAAAUCCUAUAAUCCCAGGAGGACCACCAGUGGCGAAGGCUGUCGGCUGGCACGUGCUCGACGGUGAGGGACGAAAGCUUGGGGAGCGAACCGGAUUAGAUACCCGGGUAGUCCAAGCUGUAAACGAUGCGGGCUAGGUGUUGGGGUGGCUACGGGCCACUUCAGUGCCGCAGGGAAGCCGUUAAGCCCGCCGCCUGGGAAGUACGGCCGCAGGCUGAAACUUAAAGGAAUUGGCCGGGGAGCAC
rnacentral:rRNA from 1 species